UUUUGGACUUUGGUGGUUUCUUAGUUAAACAUGUUAGCAGAUUUUAUAACUCAUGGAAAAAGGAUGAAGGAGGCAGACAAAAGUUGAACUAUCAGUUCUGCAUCACUGAUCUUCUUCUUCUUCUCACCAACCUUGUGUCCACAUCUUCAUCUGAACGCACUGGGCGGAGACGAGGCGGCAUGCUUCACUGCCUUCUUUCCAACAUGUCAGGUCAAUAUAGGACCAUCUCAUAAUUCCAGACUCAUAAUUGCAACAGAGGAAGACCUGUGGCUCAAAUAACUGAUGAGAGAUUGCGAUGGAUUAUUAUCAGAACCCGACCGCAGAACCUUAAUACUCAAGGAGGGGAAACGUCUUAUGGAUUCUUCUGUUCUUUGAUUUCCAAAAACAGAAUGAACUACUUUCUUAUGUAAAUAAAAAUUAAAUGUAUUCGUUU